GAUGAACGCUGGCGGCGUGCCUAAUACAUGCAAGUCGAGCGAACAGACGAGGAGCUUGCUCCUCUGACGUUAGCGGCGGACGGGUGAGUAACACGUGGAUAACCAACCUAUAUUACGGGGAUAACUUCGGGAAACCGGAGCUAAUACCGGAUAAUAUAUUCAACCGCAGGGUUCAAUAGUGAAUGACGGUUUUGCUGUCACUUUUAGAUGGUUCCGCGCCGCAUUAGCGAGUUGGUAAGGUAACGGCCUACCAAGGCGACGAUGCGUAGCCGACCUGAGAGGAUGAUCAGCCACACUGGAACUGAGACACGGUCCAGACUCCUACGGGAGGCAGCAGUGGGGAAUAUUGGCCAAUGGGCGCAAGCCUGAUCGAGCCAUACCGCGGGGGUGAAGAAGGCCUUCGGGUUGUAAAGCCCUUUUUUUGGGAAAGAAAAAAAGCAGGUUAAUACCCCGCUGUUCUGACGGUACCCAAAGAAUAAGCACCGGCUAACUUCGUG
rnacentral:rRNA from 1 species